rnacentral:rRNA from 1 species
UACGUAGGGUGCAAGCGUUAUCCGGAAUUAUUGGGCGUAAAGCGUCCGCAGGUGGCACCUCAAGUCUGCUGUCAAAGACCGGGGCUUAACCCCAGAAAGGCAGUGGAAACUGAAGUGCUAGAGUGCAGUAGGGGUAGAGGGAAUUCCCGGUGUAGCGGUGAAAUUCGUAGAUAUUGGGAAGAACACCGGUGGCGAAGGCGGUUCUCUGGGACGGUACUGACGCUGAGACGCGAAAGCGUGGGGAGCGAACAGG